UCUCCGUUGGUGAACCAGCGGAGGGAUCAUUACAGAGUUAUCUACUCCCAAACCAUUGUGAACUUACCAUAUGUUGCCUCGGCAGAACCUACCCUGUAGCGGGCUGCCGGCGGACCUCUAAACUCUUGUUAUACUAUUGUAAUCUGAGCGUCUUAUUUUAAUAAGUCAAAACUUUCAACAACGGAUCUCUUGGUUCUGGCAUCGAUGAAGAACGCAGC
rnacentral:misc_RNA from 1 species